UACGUAGGUGACAAGCGUUGUCCGGAUUUACUGGGCGUAAAGAGCGCGCAGGCGGUCGUUCAAGUCGAGUGUGAAAGCCCCCGGCUCAACUGGGGAGGGUCAUUCGAUACUGAUCGACUCGAAGGCAGGAGAGGGUAGUGGAAUUCCCGGUGUAGUGGUGAAAUGCGUAGAUAUCGGGAGGAACGACCAGUGGCGAAGGGCGGACUC
rnacentral:rRNA from 1 species